UGUGCAUGAUUAACUAAAACAGCCUGUUGACGGCUUAAAAUAAACCUGCCUUUUCCAUUUAGCAUUUUAUCAAAUGAAUAUAAUUUCAUUUGCUGAUGAAUUUAGUUCAGCUUCAAGAGAAUUUUUCUUUUCUUCAUGGGGAGGCUGAAGAAUCAGAACUGUCAUACCAAAGAAUGAAAAGCAAGCCUAGGGAGAACAAGACAGUCUGAUGUUUACAUGGGGUUAACUUAUUUGAUCAGUGAAAUCAGAAAAGGAUCAUUCUGCAUUCGUGGACUACUCUCAUUGACACACUCGCUUACCCAUCUGAAAACAGCAACACAGUCUGGGUUCCUGAUUUGUAUCUGUUACCCUUCAUGGAAAUGGCUGGUGAAGCAAAACUAUGUGUGUAAAACUGCAUCUGCCACAGGCUGCUUGUCCACAAAAGCAGCAAAGCAUCUCUAUGGAAUACCUCCGUAUGGAUCUGUAAAGAAGAGUCCCACUUCAGUCAAAGACAGUAGAUUAUGAGAUUAAAGAAGACUGAAGAGAUAUGAAAACUAAAUGCAAUUCAUGAUCUUGUACCAGAGGGAAGAAAAUUCUAUCAAGAACAAUAUUGUAUCAACUGACAAAAUCAUAAUAUGAAUGACAGAUCAGAUAAAUGUGUUGUGUCAAAGUUAAAUUUCCUGAAGUUGAAAACUACAUUAGAAUACAGUCUAAGAGAAUGUCCUAGUUUGGGGAAAUAUACAUACAACUAUUUAAAGGUAUGGGCAUGACACAACUCACUCACAAAUAGUUCUUUAGCUAUUCUUGCCACUUUAACUUUGAAACUACUUCCAAAUGAAAAAAUUAAAAAUUUUAAAAUAUGUAAGAACACCACAAGUAUAGUAACUUUAGUAAGUGGCAUCUGAAUUCUACUUCAUCAGAAUUUUCUGAAUGCAACUUGUCCUUAUUCCCUAACCCUAAAUAGCAAAUGACUUAGAGUGUUCAAUUUUUUUCUUUCCUUAAUAACAUUAUUCAAAUGUGUAUGGCUCCUGAUAAGCCAUCCCCUACCACUGUAUCCACCUUUCUUUGUUCUACCUAAGCAAUUCACAGUUAAGCUGGAAGAUAUUAGAAGACGCUCACUCUUUCUUUCUCAAGGGAUGCUGACUUGUCACAUGCUUAAACAAACUCUUUU
rnacentral:lncRNA from 1 species